UGGGGAAUAUUGGACAAUGGGCGCAAGCCUGAUCCAGCCAUGCCGCGUGAGUGAUGAAGGCCCUAGGGUUGUAAAGCUCUUUCACCGGUGAAGAUAAUGACGGUAACCGGAGAAGAAGCCCCGGCUAACUUCGUGCCAGCAGCCGCGGUAAUACGAAGGGGGCUAGCGUUGUUCGGAUUUACUGGGCGUAAAGCGCACGUAGGCGGACUAUUAAGUCAGGGGUGAAAUCCCGGGGCUCAACCCCGGAACUGCCUUUGAUACUGGUAGUCUUGAGUUCGAGAGAGGUGAGUGGAAUUCCGAGUGUAGAGGUGAAAUUCGUAGAUAUUCGGAGGAACACCAGUGGCGAAGGCGGCUCACUGGCUCGAUACUGACGCUGAGGUGCGAAAGCGUGGGGAUCAAACAGG
rnacentral:rRNA from 1 species